UACGUAGGGUGCAAGCGUUAAUCGGAAUUACUGGGCGUAAAGCGUGCGCAGGCGGUUAUGUCGAUCAGAUGUGAAAUCCCCGGGCUCAACCUGGGAACUGCAUUUGUGACUGCAUGGCUGAGAGUACGGAGAGGGGAUGGAAUUCCGCGUGUAGCAGUGAAAUGCGUAGAUAUGCGGAGGAACACCGAUGGCGAAGGCAAUCCCCUGG
rnacentral:rRNA from 1 species